GAUGAACGCUGGCGGCGUGCUUAACACAUGCAAGUCGAACGGAACUCAUUGGAUCAAGACUUCGGUCAAGUGAAUUUGAGUUUAGUGGCGGACGGGUGAGUAACGCGUGAGGAACCUGCCUCGGAGUGGGGAAUAACAGUUAGAAAUGACUGCUAAUACCGCAUAAUGCAUAUUGAUCGCAUGGUCGAUAUGCCAAAGAUUUAUCGCUCUGAGAUGGCCUCGCGUCUGAUUAGCUAGUUGGCGGGGUAACGGCCCACCAAGGCGACGAUCAGUAGCCGGACUGAGAGGUUGGCCGGCCACAUUGGGACUGGGACACGGCCCAG
rnacentral:rRNA from 1 species